GUUUGCUUUAGAAACAUAUGCUAAAUGUGGAACAAUACAGAAAAGACUGGAAUGGCUCCUGCACAAUGAUUACAUGCAUAUUUGUGAAGCAUUCCAUAUUUUU